UACGUAGGGUGCAAGCGUUAAUCGGAAUUACUGGCGUAAAGCGUGCGCAGGCGUUUGUAAGUCUGUCGUGAAAGCCCCGGGCUCAACCUGGGAAUUGCGAUGGAGACUGCAAGGCUUGAAUCUGGCAGAGGGGGUAGAAUUCCACGUGUAGCAGUGAAAUGCGUAGAGAUGUGGAGGAACACCGAUGGCGAAGGCAGCCCCCCUGGGUCAAGAUUGACGCUCAUGCACGAAAGCGUGGGGG
rnacentral:rRNA from 1 species